rnacentral:rRNA from 1 species
GCUAUCACUUCUGGAUGAUCCCGCGGCGUAUUAGUUAGUUGGUGAGGUAAAGGCCCACCAAGACGAUGAUACGUAGCCGACCUGAGAGGGUAAUCGGCCACAUUGGGACUGAGACACGGCCCAAACUCCUACGGGAGGCAGCAGUAGGGAAUCUUCCACAAUGGACGAAAGUCUGAUGGAGCAAUGCCGCGUGAGUGAAGAAGGGUUUCGGCUCGUAAAACUCUGUUGUUAAAGAAGAACACCUUUGAGAGUAACUGUUCAAGGGUUGACGGUAUUUAACCAGAAAGCCACGGCUAACUACGUGCCAGCAGCCGCGGUAAUACGUAGGUGGCAAGCGUUGUCCGGAUUUAUUGGGCGUAAAGCGAGCGCAGGCGGUUUUUUAAGUCUGAUGUGAAAGCCUUCGGCUUAACCGGAGAAGUGCAUCGGAAACUGGGAGACUUGAGUGCAGAAGAGGACAGUGGAACUCCAUGUGUAGCGGUGGAAUGCGUAGAUAUAUGGAAGAACACCAGUGGCGAAGGCGGCUGUCUAGUCUGUAACUGACGCUGAGGCUCGAAAGCAUGGGUAGCGAACAGGAUUAGAUACCCUGGUAGUCCAUGCCGUAAACGAUGAGUGCUAAGUGUUGGAGGGUUUCCGCCCUUCAGUGCUGCAGCUAACGCAUUAAGCACUCCGCCUGGGGAGUACGACCGCAAGGUUGAAACUCAAAGGAAUUGACGGGGGCCCGCACAAGCGGUGGAGCAUGUGGUUUAAUUCGAAGCUACGCGAAGAACCUUACCAGGUCUUGACAUCUUCUGCCAAUCUUAGAGAUAAGACGUUCCCUUCGGGGACAGAAUGACAGGUGGGUGCAUGGUU